CCCUCGCCCCUGCACCCAGCGCCAGUUCCUCAAACCCUAGUCUCCUCCCCCACCCGGGCUCAGGAAGGGGAGAGGCGGAGCGGAGGCAGGGCGGGGUACCCGCGCACCGGACGGGACGCUGGGGUUAGAAUCGCUGCAGCCUGCCGGACAGGGGGUCCUUGGGACAGCUGUCUGCAGCAGCUGUCUGCUAAGCUGGAGAGAAGGGGGGACAGAGCAAGGCUGAUUUACUGGGACACUCAGAGCUUUGAAGGUUGACUCCUACCUUGUCCCUGCCGGUCAUGCCCAAAAGGAAGCUGAAGGUCCGUCGCAGGGAGGAGCCUGUCCAGGUCCCCGAGCCCUCUUCCAGCUGUUUACCACUGCAAAGAGACAGGGAAGAGUAAGUAAACCAAGAGGGCCUGUGAGACAGCAGGCGGCUGACCAGCAAGCCAGAAGAUCUGAAUUUAGUCUCGGGACCCACGUGGCAGGACAGAACUGACUUCCAAAAGCUGUCCUCUGACCUCCACAAGUGUGCCAUGACACCCGACAUCUCACUCUCUCACACACAGUAAAUAAAUAAACUUAAAUUAAAAGAGAAA